rnacentral:rRNA from 1 species
UAACGCGAAGAACCUUACCAAGGCUUGACAUAUACCGGAAAGCAUUAGAGAUAGUGCCCCCCUUGUGGUCGGUAUACAGGUGGUGCAUGGCUGUCGUCAGCUCGUGUCGUGAGAUGUUGGGUUAAGUCCCGCAACGAGCGCAACCCUUGUCCUGUGUUACCAGCAUGCCCUUCGGGGUGAUGGGGACUCACAGGAGACCGCCGGGGUCAACUCGGAGGAAGGUGGGGACGACGUCAAGUCAUCAUGCCCCUUAUGUCUUGGGCUGCACACGUGCUACAAUGGCCGGUACAAUGAGCUGCGAUACCGUGAGGUGGAGCGAAUCUCAAAAAGCCGGUCUCAGUUCGGAUUGGGGUCUGCAACUCGACCCCAUGAAGUCGGAGUUGCUAGUAAUCGCAGAUCAGCAUUGCUGCGGUGAAUACGUUCCCGGGUCUUGUACACACCGA